rnacentral:rRNA from 1 species
UACGAAGGGUGCAAGCGUUACUCGGAAUUACUGGGCGUAAAGCGUGCGUAGGUGGUUGUUUAAGUCUGUCGUGAAAGCCCUGGGCUCAACCUGGGAAUUGCGAUGGAUACUGGGCGACUAGAGUGUGGUAGAGGACAGUGGAAUUUCCGGUGUAGCAGUGAAAUGCGUAGAGUUCGGAAGGAACAUCUGUGGCGAAGGCGACUGUCUGGGCCAACACUGACACUGAGGCACGAAAGCGUGGGGAGCAAACAGGAUUAGCUACCCAGGUAGUCCACGCCCUAAACGAUGCGAACUGGAUGUUGGGCACAACUUGGUGCCCAGUAUCGAAGCUAACGCGUUAAGUUCGCCGCCUGGGGAGUACGGUCGCAAGACUGAA